GACGGAGGAUGCAAGUGUUAUCCGGAAUCACUGGGCGUAAAGCGCGCGUAGGCGGAUCUGCAAGUCGGGGGUGAAAUCCCGAGGCUCAACCUCGGAACUGCCUUCGAUACUGCGGGUCUCGAGUCCGGGAGAGGUGAGUGGAAUUCCUAGUGUAGAGGUGAAAUUCGUGGAUAUUCGCAAGAACACCAGUGGCGAAGGCGGCUCACUGGCCCGGUACUGACGCUGAGGUGCGAAAGCGUGGGGAGCAAACAGG
rnacentral:rRNA from 1 species